CCAAUAGCGUAUAUUAAAGUUGUUGCAGUUAAAAAGCUCGUAGUUGAAUUUCGGGAUCAAUGUUUCGGUCAUGCCGUUGGUAUGUACUGAUAUUAUUGGUUUCUCACCUUCUAAAGAACCGUAAUGCCAUUAAUUUGGUGUCACGGGGAAUUAGGACUGUUACUUUGAAAAAAUUAGAGUGUUUAAAGCAGGCUAACGCUUGAAUACAUUAGCAUGGAAUAAUGAAAUAGGACGUUCGAUCUUAUUUUGUUGGUUUCUAAGAUUGACGUAAUGAUUAAUAGGGAUAGUUGGGGGCAUUAGUAUUCAAUUGUCAGAGGUGAAAUUCUUGGAUUUAUUGAAGACUAACUACUGCGAAAGCAUUUGCCAAGGAUGUUUUCAUUAAUCAAGAACGAAAGUUAGGGGAUCGAAGACGAUCAGAUACCGUCGUAGUCUUAACCAUAAACUAUGCCGACUAGGGAUCGGAUGAUGUUAAUUUUUUAAUGACUCAUUCGGCGCCUUACG
rnacentral:rRNA from 1 species